GAGACUGCAAGGCUUGAUUUGGCAGAGGGGGUAGANUUCCCCGUGUAGCAGUGAAAUGCGUAGAGAUGGGAGGANCACCGAUGGCGAAGGCAGCCCCCUGGGUCAAGAUUGACGCUCAUGCACGAAAGCGUGGGGAGCAANCAGGAUUAGAUACCCUGGUAGUCCACGCCCUAAACGAUGUCUACUAGUUGUCGGGUUUUAAUUAACUUGGUAACGCAGCUAACGCGUGAAGUAGACCGCCUGGGGAGUACGGUCGCAAGAUUAAAACUCAAAGGAAUUGACGGGGACCCGCACAAGCGGUGGAUGAUGUGGAUUAAUUCGAUGCAACGCGAAAAACCUUACCUACCCUUGACAUGGAAGGAAUCCCGGAGAGAUUUGGGAGUGCCCGAAAGGGAACCUUCACACAGGUGCUGCAUGGCUGUCGUCAGCUCGUGUCGUGAGAUGUUGGGUUAAGUCCCGCAACGAGCGCAACCCUUGUCAUUAGUUGCUACAUUUAGUUGAGCACUCUAAUGAGACUGCCGGUGACAAACCGGAGGAAGGUGGGGAUGACGUCAAGUCCUCAUGGCCCUUAUGGGUAGGGCUUCACACGUCAUACAAUGGUACAUACAGAGGGCCGCCAACCCGCGAGGGGGAGCUAAUCCCAGAAAGUGUAUCGUAGUCCGGAUUGUAGUCUGCAACUCGACUACAUGAAGUUGGAAUCGCUAGUAAUCGCGGAUCAGCAUGUCGCGGUGAAUACGUUCCCGGGUC
rnacentral:rRNA from 1 species